ACAAAACAAAAAUUAUCUUCGCGGGUGCACCAUUCGAUGUAAUUUUUACUCCGUAGAAAAUAGCGACAAGUUCGUGAUUUUUUGUUUUUUACGUGUUCCUCCAACGGGAAGAGAUACGGUCAUUCGAAAAAAAAGCUGCCAGUUCGGGCAAGACGGACACAUUAAGAUGCCUACAAAUUACAAGCGCAAGAGUUACCGGCAGUCAUGGACCGCUCAGCAGUUGGAACAAGCCAUUAAGGCUGUAAAAAGUGGAUCGCCGGUGAAGACAGCAGCAAGAAGUUACGCAAUUCCAAGAUCCACACUGAUUCGCCACCUCACAAGUCCAACUGUAUCAACUCGGCUAGGACCUCUUGAUUCCGUAUGCAAUUCUCAACAAGAAGAGGAGCUGGUACAACAUCUGUUGGAUUUGGAAAAGAGGUUCUAUGGAAUAACGAUGACUAAUGCUCAAUACGCUGACACAUUGAAGAAGGCGAAAGCAUCGAAAGACAUUAAAUCCAUCAAAAAAGAAUAAAAACAACGCUCUUCGAAGAAGCCUAUGCAAAAUAAGGGCAAAGGGGACACCUCAUCUGAUAAUCUAUGCGAGAAAUGCGGAAGCCAGUUUUCUGAUUCAGAUUUUGGGACAGGUUGGACAAUAUGCUUACAAUGCCUUUCAUGGUUCCACGAUGAAUGCUUUACUUCUGCUGCAACUAUUUGUCAGAACUGCUCUUGAUUCUUCUUCUUUUCUUGUUUUUUUAUUCCCACUGAAAAUUGAAUUAAUUGAAUUAAAUUUAAAUACUCAGAUGAACUUAAACCAUCGAUGAAUUGUU